rnacentral:rRNA from 1 species
GACGAACGCUGGCGGCGUGCUUAACACAUGCAAGUCGAACGGAAAGGCCCUGCUUUUGUGGGGUGCUCGAGUGGCGAACGGGUGAGUAACACGUGAGUAACCUGCCCUUGACUUUGGGAUAACUUCAGGAAACUGGGGCUAAUACCGGAUAGGAUCUCCUGCUGCAUGGUGGGGGUUGGAAAGUUUCGGCGGUUGGGGCUGGACUCGCGGCUUAUCAGCUUGUUGGUGUGGUAGUGGCUUACCAAGGCUUUGACGGGUAGCCGGCCUGAGAGGGUGACCGGCGACAUGGGGACUGAGAGACGGACCAGAAUGCUACGGGAGGCAGCAGGGGGGAAUAUUGCAGAAUGGGCGGAAGCCUGAGGCAGCAACGCCGGGUGCGGGAUGACGGGCUACGGGGUGUAAACCGAUUUCGAAGGUGACGAAGAGAGAGUGACGGUAAUGGGUAAAGAAGCACCGGCUAACUACGUG